UCCAGAUUGAUGUUUCCUGCUAAAAAUAUCUGCUUUUCUCCUCUUUGUCGGAUUCUAGACUCAUCAAAGUUCUCUGGCUAUUUACACUUAUACCAUCUACUCUAAUCCUAUAAAGCGUGCCAAUGACUCAAUAGCUUCUUCGGGAAGGUGUCCUUAAACCGACGGCAGUUGCUGCACUGUUUCAGAUCUGCAAUCAACAUCAGCUUUUACAAAAAUCGGGUCGGUUAAAAAUGAUCAUAAAGACUUAAGGAGAUCAAUCAGGGGAAUUUUGACAGUAAAUACAGUAUACUGUGGCCCACUGGUCAAGUCUCUAUCAGCAAACAUAACAACUGCAAUUCGACCCACCUGCUCUCCUGCAAAAGAUGGUAAUGAACAAGGUAGUACUUGGAUUUUUGUCUUAUCCCAAAAUCACUCAUCAAGGACACCAGGUAGGUUGAUAGUGGCUUCCAGGUAUUCGACAUGUUUAAUUUUGAUAAGAAGAUAGGUCACCAAUAUGUUUACUUUGACAGCUCAAGAGGAAGAAGGUCAACAGAACAAGAAACGGUUAUUGGUGAUUGCUCUGAUCACAAUUCCUAUGAUUAUGAUCCUACUGAGAACAAUGAUGUAUUUUCUAAAAAGGAAAGUAGUCAAGUCAAUUGGUAAUCUUCUUAAACUGUUAAUAUAUAUAUAUUUUUUUACUUUAGUUCUUUCACUAAACCUUAGGAGAAGAAUCUAAUGCAAUUUGACCCACCUGCUCUCCUGCAAAAGAUGGUAAUCAACAAGGUAGUACUUGGAUUUUUGUCUUAUCCCAAAAUCACUCAUCAAGGACACCAGGUAGGUUGAUAGUGGCUUCCAGGUAUUCGACAUGUUUAAUUUUGAUAAGAAGAUAGGUCACCAAUAUGUUUACUUUGACAGCUCAAGAGGAAGAAGGUCAACAGAACAAGAAACGGUUAUUGGUGAUUGCUCUGAUCACAAUUCCUAUGAUUAUGAUCCUACUGAGAACAAUGAUGUAUUUUCUAAAAAGGAGAGUAGUCAAGUCAAUUGGAAGGAUGAGACCUGGGUGAGCCAGAUAGAAUUGUCAGGAAACUGUCGCAGCCUAGGGUCUAUGUGAAAUUGAUUAAUGUGGGUCUUGAGGUGGCCUUCAUCCCUAUUCAACUGAAGCCCCUCAGUUCAAUUCAGAGUUUUCAUGCAGAUCGGGAAGAAAGACAUCCAAGAUUUCAGAACCAACCCAUCUUUUUGAACGAAGUUUACGAAAGAGCUUUUCAGUAAGAAUAAUAAAUGACCAUGAAGAUUCUUUGACAUGAAGCAUGGACUAUUGUACCUGCGUUCAUUUAUAUGCAUCAUAUCUCGAAGAACGCCUGGACUGUUUUUCUAUCCUGAAGUACGAUGUUCAGAAAGAUCACUUGGUUGCAGGUAAAAUUGCCAAGUUGUAUGCUGCAAUUACAAAUGGUAUCGUCAAUUUAGUUAACAAUGCAGGCCUUGGUUUUCUUUGUGCACAAUGAUGGGCAGCUGCUACAAUUAAUGAUGGGCAAUACUUGAUUUUGUCAUAGAAUUGUUUGAUAGAAUGUUAUUGUAAACUGUGAUAAUGUAACCCAACAAUUUUAGACAGAUGAAAGUUUUGCUCAUUUUAUCAUUCUGUCAUUAUUGUAAAUUAUUAGCAACAACAAACCCCGCAGCAAAGCGCGGGCACUAUUGCUAGUGUUGACAA